GACCGGAGUGGACGCAUCACUGGUGUUCGGGUUGUCAUGCCAAUGGCACUGCCCGGUAGCUAAAUGCGGAAGAGAUAAGUGCUGAAAGCAUCUAAGCACGAAACUUGCCCCGAGAUGAGUUCUCCCUGACCCUUUAAGGGUCCUGAAGGAACGUUGAAGACGACGACGUUGAUAGGCCGGGUGUGUAAGCGCAGCGAUGCGUUGAGCUAACCGGUACUAAUGAACCGUGAGGCUUAACCUUACAACGCCGAAGGUGUUU
rnacentral:rRNA from 1 species